ensembl:lncRNA
GGUGGGGGGUGGGUACCCAGAACCAACAAAUCCCCCAAAGGACACGGCCCCCUGGCUGAGCCUGUGCAGACCCAAUCAGGCAUCAAGAGAUGGCCGGCGGGCUGAGCACAGCAGGCAGGAACCAGGAAGGCGACCACGCAGCCCUCCUCCCCUUACCGCACCUGGGGCCACUUUCCCCAUCACUACUGAACCCCCAGCAGCUCUGGCGCUCACAAGCCUGCAGCAGGGAAAGAUGCCCCGCUAACUGUGGUCUCAGGUCUGUAAGCUCAGCUCUGAGCACUCUGAGAGGCUAAGCAGGGUGUCCAGCACCCCCUCAACACAGCUCCUCAACAGGGAAGGAGUAAGGACCCCCAUUCCUCCUCCCAGCCUAGCAUCAAUGUGGUUCCUCAGCCACAAAUGGUACCUGUCCCCGACCAGGACACCAGAGGGGACUCUGAAAUGUCCCCUCUCUCCCAGGAAGAGCAGGCGUCCUGUGCGGAGUGGAUUCUGCCUGGAGGCUUGGCUCCAGAACAAACACUACUUGUUGCUGCUGGGAACCAAUGGCUGAGCCGGAGUGGCUGCUGGCCUGGCUGGGCCUCCCCACCCUGCAACAGAUCGGAUCUUAUCAGGGCUUGGGGACAGCCCUGCCUGGACUCCGGCUCACUGACGGCUCGCUGUCUCCACCCGCUGGCAAAGAUCCUAUCGACCGGACUGUCUCCAGCAUCAGGGACAUUUCCCAUCCCCCACCCCAACCUGGUCCUCUCUACCCCCAUGUGAUGGCUAUCAGGGGCUGGGAGGAGGUCCUCCCUUCCCCAGAGGGCCCCAUCCCUGAUCUCCUCCACCCCUGCAAAUCCUCACAAGCAACCACCACCCGAAACACCGCAGGACUGAAAGUGGGUGGCAAAGUCAUAUCCAAAACCAAUUGGGAAGAGAAGACUGGCAGAAAAAGACAUCAGAACAGUCACUGUCUUCUGGGCCCUCCAGCCAGGAAGGUGGUGCUAUGUCUCCAGACCACUGCCGCUGGUCUUCCUCCAGUCCCCCGCCCACCCUUCCGGCCUCAUCUCCCCCCUGCCAGGGGGCCGGGGGGUGCGGAUGUUCCUCAACGUGCCUAACUCCUACCCAUGCGGAUCACUGCACUUGCUGUUCCCUGCCUAUACAACACUGUUCCCUCAGAUGGUCCAAGGUUCAUUCUACCGAAUCAGUUUAAAGACCAUCACUUUAGAGAGGCCUCCCCUGACCACUCUGGCCAAAGGGAGCCCCCAGUCAGCCUCUACCACCACACCCAGUUUCCACUGUCCCCACAUAUCCCCACAGGUUUUACCUCUUCAUCUGCUGGUUUGCUUGGCCACUGUCUCCAACAACAUCCUAGAAUGUCAGCUCCCUGAUGGCUAAGCCUCCUCUAAUUAACAGCUCCAUCCUAGCACCUAGAAUGGUGCCCAGUGAAGUGUUGUUUAGUUACUCAGACGUGUCCGACUCUUGCGACCCCAUGGACUGUAGCCCGCUGGGCUCCUCUGUCCAUGGGAUUUCCCAGGCAAGGAUACUGGAGUGGGUAGCCAUUCCCUUCUCCAGGGAAUCUUCCCAACCCAGGGAUCAAAUCCACAUCUCCUGCAUUGCAGGUGGAUUCUUUACUGCUGAGUGCAGAGUAAGUACUCAGCACAUGGGGGCUGAAAAUGUAAUUAUCUCCAGGAUUUGUUUUGUCCUCUUCAUCCUUUCUCCCAUCACCACCACCAAUAUCCACCUGGUCAGACCUAGCUCAGCUUCCAAAGACAUGUGGGCAGCAGUGGGUUCCCAUUUCCCUGGGCCCUGGACCCACAGUUUGGUUCAGAGCUGACCCGGGGGGAGACAGCACUGCUGACCCCGUGUCCGGGCCUGGCUGGGUGGCCCCACCUUGGCCCUGGUUGUUGGGUGAGAUCAUGCCCAGCUCUGCUGCCCUGCCUGGGAGAGAAGAGCUAGAAGUAGCCAUUGCCCAUGCUCAGAAGGACAAGCAACUGGGGGCACAGCUCCUGAGACCCAUCCCAACUGGGGGACAGGACUGGCCUGCACUGGAGCCACAUCUCUUGAAAGGGGCAAGAAAGGACUUUGC